rnacentral:pre_miRNA from 9 species
UCUCGAUAGCGUAAAAGUUAACUCAAAUUUGUAUGGAGUUGGAACGUUUGCCUACGUUUGCCGCUAGGGGCGCUGUUCCAACUGCUCAAAAUUUGAGUUAACUUUUACGCUAUCGG